rnacentral:rRNA from 1 species
AGAGUUUGAUCCUGGCUCAGGAUGAACGCUAGCGGCAGGCCUAAUACAUGCAAGUCGAACGGUGAUAGUAAUAUCAUAGUGGCGCACGGGUGCGUAACACGUAUGCAACCUACCUUAUACUUAGGGAUAGCCUUUGGAAACGGAGAUUAAUACCUGAUGGUACAGUUGACUUGGCAUCGAGUUACUGUUAAAGAUUUAUUGGUAUAAGAUGGGCAUGCGUCCAAUUAGUUAGUUGGUGAGGUAAUGGCUCACCAAGACGAUGAUUGGUAGGGGAACUGAGAGGUUAAUCCCCCACACUGGCACUGAGAUACGGGCCAGACUCCUACGGGAGGCAGCAGUAGGGAAUAUUGGGCAAUGGAGGCAACUCUGACCCAGCCAUGCCGCGUGCAGGAUGAAGGUGUUAUGCGUUGUAAACUGCUUUUAUAUAGGAAGAAAUAGACCUUGCGAGGUAAGUUGACGGUACUAUAUGAAUAAGCACCGGCUAACUCCGUGCCAGCAGCCGCGGUAAUACGGAGGGUGCAAGCGUUGUCCGGAUUUAUUGGGUUUAAAGGGUGCGUAGGCGGUUUAUUAAGUCAGUGGUGAAAGACGGUCGCUCAACGAUUGCAGUGCCAUUGAUACUGGUAGACUUGAGUGGGAUUGAGGUAGCUGGAAUGGAUAGUGUAGCGG